rnacentral:lncRNA from 1 species
CACAAUAAUCAAAGCUGUGCAAUUCACAUUGGCUCGAAAUGGGAAUUAGUUUUUACGAUGGAAGCCGAUAAACAGAGAGAGUAAAAGGAGAAACUUACGGAGCUCGCCGGAAGAUGCCGCCAGGUGUUGACAAGGAGAGGCGGGUUCGCGGUGCAGUGGCGGUCCGGCGGAGGGCAAUAAGGAGGGUUUAUCAACGAGGAGAAAAUAAAUGAGAAUAUAAUGCUGAAGGUUAAAGAAAUGUAAUUGAAAAAGC